GCAGGGAGAUAGAGGGGAGACGUCUAAAGGAGCGAGCUCCAAGAAACAAAAGGGCCGCCGCGACUCAGAGCGGCAGACGGAGGAAAUAAGUUCUGUCCACAGAGUCUUAUCAGCAGAGAGACAGGUUUCACAGCGCGUACCGUCAGAGAGAUACACCUGCUCUUAACAACACCUGCGCCGUGAAACAGGAAGCUCCUUAUAGUGUCCAGUGCUACCUCAGAGCGCUGGCUGCACAGCUGCACGGGGCCAGUCUGACAGGGAAUCCGGUACGGAGCUGGUUUUCUUGCCGGGUUUGGCUCCUGGCGUCCCGGGGCUGAGUCAGUUGGGUUAGCUCUGCGUCUGACUGAGCUAACAGCAGUUAGCGGUUGGCUACGGAUCAAUCUGUCCAUCAGGAAACUGUAAAUGACCUCGGUACUGUAACGGUAUUCCCUGUCGGUACUGUAACGGUAUUCCCUGUCGGUCUCUGAGGCCUCGGUACUGUAACGGUAUUCCCUGUCGGUACUGUAACGGUAUUCCCUGUCGGUACUGUAACGGUAUUCCCUGUCUGUACUGUAACGGUAUUCCCUGUUGGUACUGUAACUGUAUUCCCUGUCGGUACUGUAACUGUAUUCCCUGUCUGUACUGUAACGGUAUUCUCUGUUGGUACUGUAACGGUGUUCCCUGUCGGUACUGUAACGGUAUUCUCUGUCGGUCCACAGAAAUGAACAUAUCUCUCCAGCCUGAGACACAAAUAAUAAAUAACACGUAUAAAACCAUAAACAA